rnacentral:rRNA from 1 species
CGCGCAGGCGGUCGAUUUAGUCGCGUGUGAAAGCCCCCGGCUCAACUGGGGAGGGUCACGCGAUACUGAUCGACUCGAAGGCAGGAGAGGGUAGUGGAAUUCCCGGUGUAGUGGUGAAAUGCGUAGAUAUCGGGAGGAACACCAGUGGCGAAGGCGACUACCUGGCCUGUUCUUGACGCUGAGGCGCGAAAGCUAGGGGAGCAAACG